rnacentral:rRNA from 1 species
CCUACGGGGGGCAGCAGUGGGGAAUAUUGCACAAUGGGGGAAACCCUGAUGCAGCAACGCCGCGUGAGCGAUGAAGGCCUUCGGGUCGUAAAGCUCUGUCCUAAGGGAAGAAUACUGACGGUACCUUAGGAGGAAGCCCCGGCUAACUACGUGCCAGCAGCCGCGGUAAUACGUAGCGGGCUAGCGUUAUCCGGAAUUACUGGGCGUAAAGGGUGCGUAGGCGGCCCUUCAAGUCAGAGGUGAAAGGCUACGGCGGAACCGUAGUAAGCCUUUGAAACUGUAGGGCUUGAGUGCUGGAGUGAAGUGUGGGAUUCCCAGUGUAGCGGUGAAAUGCGUAGAUAUUAGGGGGAGCGCCAGUUGCGAAGGCGGCUCUCUGGACUGUAUCUGUCGCUGAGGCACGAAUGCGUGGGGAGCGAACAGGAUUAGAUACCCCAGUAGUC